UACGUAGGGUGCAAGCGUUGUCCGGAAUUAUUGGGCGUAAAGAGCUCGUAGGCGGUUUGUCGCGUCGAAUGUGAAAACCCGGGGCUCAACCCCGGGCCUGCAUUCGAUACGGGCAGACUAGAGUUCGGUAGGGGAGUCUGGAAUUCCUGGUGUAGCGGUGAAAUGCGCAGAUAUCAGGAGGAACACCGGUGGCGAAGGCGGUGGUCUGGGCCGGAACUGACGCUGAGGAGCGAAAGCGUGGGUAGCAAACAGG
rnacentral:rRNA from 1 species